AUUGAACGCUGGCGGCAGGCCUAACACAUGCAAGUCGAGCGGAUGAAGGGAGCUUGCUCCUGGAUUCAGUGGCGGACGGGUGAGUAAUGCCUAGGAAUCUGCCUGGUAGUGGGGGAUAACGUCCGGAAACGGGCGCUAAUACCGCAUACGUCCUGAGGGAGAAAGUGGGGGAUCUUCGGACCUCACGCUAUCAGAUGAGCCUAGGUCGGAUUAGCUAGUUGGUGGGGUAAAGGCCUACCAAGGCGACGAUCCGUAACUGGUCUGAGAGGCUGAUCAGUCACACUGGAACUGAGACACGGUCCAGACUCCUACGGGAGGCAGCAGUAGGGAAUAUUGGACAAUGGGCGAAAGCCUGAUCCAGCCAUGCCGCGUGUGUGAAGAAGGUCUUCGGAUUGUAAAGCACUUUAAGUUGGGAGGAAGGACAGUAAGUUAAUACCUGGCUGUUUUGACGUUACCAACAGAGUAAGCACCGGCUAACUUCGUG
rnacentral:rRNA from 1 species